UACGUAGGGGGCAAGCGUUGUCCGGAAUCAUUGGGCGUAAAGCGCGUGUAGGCGGUCCGGUAAGUCGGUUGUGAAAGUCCAGGGCUCAACCCUGGGAUGCCGAUCGAUACUGCCGGACUAGAGUCCGGAAGAGGCGAGUGGAAUUCCCGGUGUAGCGGUGAAAUGCGCAGAUAUCGGGAGGAACACCAAUGGCGAAGGCAGCUCGCUGGGACGGUACUGACGCUCAGGCACGAAAGCGUGGGGAGCAAACAGG
rnacentral:rRNA from 1 species